CCUACGGUAGGCAGCAGUGGGGAAUAUUGGGCAAUGGAUGCAAGCCUGACCCAGCAACGCCGCGUUAAGGAAGAAGGCUUUCGGGUUGUAAACUUCUUUUAAGAGGGAAGAGCCGAAGACGGUACCUCUUGAAUAAGCCACGGCUAACUACGUGCAAGCAGCCGCGGUAAUACGUAGGUGGCAGGCGUUGUCCGGAUUUACUGGGUGUAAAGGGCGUGUAGCCGGGCUGACAAGUCAGAUGUGAAAUCCGUGGGCUCAACCGCCGAACUGCAUUUGAAACUUUUUGUCUUGAGUAUCGGAGAGGCAGGUGGAAUUCCUAGUGUAGCGGUGAAAUGCGUAGAUAUUAGGAGGAACACCAGUGGCGAAGGCGGCCUGCUGGACGACAACUGACGGUGAGGCGCGAAAGCGUGGGGAGCAAACAGGAUUAGAUACCCGGGUAGUC
rnacentral:rRNA from 1 species